rnacentral:rRNA from 1 species
GAUGAACGCUGGCGGUGUGCCUAACACAUGCAAGUCGAGCGAGAACCGAUUAAGGGGUAGCCCUCGGUCGGGGAGAGCGGCGAACGGGUGAGUAACACGUGGGUAACCUGCCCCAGACACUGGGAUAACACCGGGAAACCGGUGCUAAUACCGGAUAUUCUCGGCGGAUCGCAUGACCUGCCGAGGAAAGCUCCGACGGUCUGGGAUGGGCCCGCGGCCUAUCAGCUUGUUGGUGGGGUAACGGCCUACCAAGGCUCCGACGUGUAGCUGGCGUGAGAGCGUGGCCAGCCACACUGGGACUGAGACACGGCCCAGACUCCUACGGGAGGCAGCAGUGGGGAAUAUUGCGCUAAUGCGCGAAAGCGUGACGCAGCGACACCGCGUGGGGAUGAAUGCCUUCGGGUUGUAAACCCCUUUCGACAGGGAAGAAGCUAACGUGACGGUACCUGUAGAAG